rnacentral:lncRNA from 10 species
CUCUUCUUUCCACAAGUGAACACCUCUCCUGUUCUAGGAGCUGGGGAUUCAGUAGUGAAUGAGACAGGCAAGGUCCCUGCUGUCAUGGAGUCUGCAUCCUAGUGUUCUAAGAUGAUUUCUUUGGUUCGAGGCACAUUUUCUUGCAUUUGUAUUGAUGACGGGAAGGGAAGCUGGCUAUCUGCAUAUGUGUUUACUUGACAACAGACAAGCUGAAGAGGCAUCGGAAGACCAGAGGGCAGCCCAAGCAGUCCCUCUAGUCACAACACAGGCACAUAACAUACGCAGAUGCCUUCUUAGGAAAGUAGUCAUGGGGAUUGGGGAAGUUUUGAGACAAGACAAAUGGCCAUUGAACUUGAAUGAAAAUAAACCAACCUGAAUGAAACUUUUAAUACUGAGAGACACUGAACUUACUUUAAUUAGGAAGUUUAAGUAUUUUUUCCUUACUACUCAGUUAUAGAAACAUAAAGAAUGCUCCAAUGUUUACAUAUUUCAGUGUGGUGGAUAAAAAUCUGACCCUACUACAAUGAGACUAACAAUUUUGGCUUCCUUAAUUUGGAACCUUACCCAUUGGAGACCUUGUUUCCUGGUCUCCCCAGAUCCUAUCCCCUUCCUGGUUCUGCGCCAGAGAAACGGGUACUGGGUAGAAAGCUGCAGUCCAUACUGGCUAUACUGCUAGUGAGCUAUAUGACCACUCUGCCUCUUAAUUUUCUAACCCAUAAAAUGGGAAGACUAAAAUAAAUGAACCUUGAAAUCUUUCCAGCUUAUGGAUAUUUUUUUCACAAUCUUCCCCCAUCCCAGCACUUUCUUCUCUUUCUCUUCAGGGUGUAUUUCAA